rnacentral:lncRNA from 1 species
GGGGGAGGAGAGCCAGGGUGGAAGGGAGAGAGGGGAAGAAAGAGAGGGAGAGUUCAAGGGUGGGAGAAAGAGAGGAAGAGAAUGAUUUAGUGGCCUGGUGUGAUCCAUCACAGGGUGAAGUGCCACAGCGUUGCCCAACCACUCUUCACCUCAUACUUAACCAUCCCUCUCACAUCAUGUCCUACAGCAAGAAGAAAUGAAGGACACAGUGCAUUCUGGGACGGAAAUGUCAUAGAGAGAGAGAGAGAGGAAGCCAGAGACGCACAGAAAGAGAAGGAGGGAGAGAGCGAACGAGGGGGGAGGCAGAGAGAGAGCGUGCGUGAUGUGCCGGGCCCUUGGUCCCUGAAUCUCCCCUGGUGGUGUGGAGGUCCUGGGGCAGGGUGACUGUCCUCUACCCCCCUGUCCUCCUCUCUCUGCCUGGGACACAGCCUCACAGACCGGGCAAGCUCCAGGCUCUGCUGUGUCACUGUAGGCUGGCCCCCUCUGCUUUCAUCUCUGCCUCCUCUCCUCUGCCGUCCCCCCCAGCGCCAACAUGGCUAAUUAGCCACUCAUCCCUCACUCCCUCCGCCUGGCCUCACCAUUCAUCUUCAUCUCUCCCUCUCUGCCGUCUGCCUCUUAAAUACCACUCCUCCUCCCUCCAUCCCUCGUCUCCAGCCCUUCACUCCCUCACUCCCUCCAUCCCUGUGGGUGGUAACCACUCUGCUCCAGCCCUUCACUCCCUCACUCCCUCCAUCCCUGUGAGUGGUAACCACUCCCCUUCACUCCCUCACUCCCUCCAUCCCUGUGGGUGGUAACCACUCGUCUCCUGCCCUUCACUCCCUCACUCCCUCCAUCCCUGUGGGUGGUAACCACUCGUCUCCUGCCCUUCACUCCCUCACUCCCUCCAUCCCUGUGGGUGGUAACCACUCGUCUCCUGCCCUUCACUCCCUCACUCCCUCCAUCCCUGUGAGUGGUAACCACUCUGCUCCAGCCCUUCACUCCCUUGCCCUCACUCCCUCCAUCCCUGUGGGUGGUAACCACUCGUCUGCUGCCCUUCACUCCCUCACUCCCUCCAUCCCUGUGGGUGGUAACCACUCGUCUGCUGCCCUUCACUCCCUCACUCCCUCCAUCCCUGUGGGUGGUAACCACUCUGCUCCAGCCCUUCACUCCCUCACUCCCUCCAUCCCUGUGGGUGGUAACCACUCGUCUCCUGCCCUCACUCCUCACUCCCUCCAUCCCUGUGGGUGGUAACCACUCGUCUCCAGCCCUUCACUCCCUUGGCCCCUCACUCCUUCCAUCCCUCCUUCCUUCCCUCCCUUCAUUGGGCUCCCGAGUGGCACGGCAGUCUAAGGCACAGGAUCUCAGUGCUAGAGGCGUCACUACGGAAACCCUGGUUCGAAUCCAGGCUGUAUCACAACCGGCCGUGAUUGGGAGUCCCAUAGAGCGGGGCACAAUUGGCCCAGCGUCGUCCGGGUUUGGUCGUCAUUGUAAAUAAGAAUUUAUUCUUAACUGACUUGCCUCGUUAAAUAAAUUCCGGUGCCUGCCUUGCCGACACAAUCACACCCUCGGUCCCUCUUUACCCCGGUCAGUACCAUGACCCAUCCAGAGCUACAGGGUGGAGACAGUCCUUUACCCCAGUCAGUACCAUGACCCAUCCAGAGCUACAGGGUGGAGACAGUCCUUUACCCCAGUCAGUACCAUGACCCAUCCAGAGCUACAGGGUGGAGACAGUCCAUUAAGACAAGGGAACAGUAGUCUUGGUAACAUGUUGAAUUAAGACAAGAGGAACAGUAGUCUUGGUAACAUGUUGAAUUAAG